CUUUUUUUUCAAUUAAUCAUACCAUAUAGAGUAAAACUUAGUUAAGCUUAAUUGUAAUUUAUUAUUUGUCUUUUGUGGUUGUACUUAUAAAUCUCUUUUAUUUAUAUUAUUGUUUAUAUUACUGCUAUUCUCCCUCUAAUAGGACUUCCAAGUCUUUAGUUUCAUUUCUAAUGAGGCCUAUAUAAAAUUGUAGUUUUGAAAUCAUUUCUAAUUGCUUUCUCUUCAUUUUGUUUUUAAAUCCAUUUAAAGUUGAGUUUUUGUAUGGGAUAUUGUACUGCUUUGGAACAAGGAUUUUUUGAGACAGUUGCUCUUCAACUACCCUCUUUAAGAUGCCAUCAGGCUGAUUAAAUUCAACAUUCAACAAUGUAAUGAGGAUGAAAUUCAUCAUUUGUCAUCAUUGAGAGGAACUAAACAACUUUAGAUUUUGUACUACAAAUCAAUGGAUACAUACAGAUCCAGAGCAGUACAUUUAUUUUUUUGAUGAAACCACCCUCUUUAAGAUACCAUGAGGCAGAUUAAAUUCAAUAUUCAACAGUGGAUUGCGAAUAAAAGUCAUCUUUGGAAAGGAAACUAAAUAAUUUAGAACCAAGACUUUCCAGAAGGGUAGCCAGAAGAUUUAUUUACCUCAACACAGACAUCAGCAUCUCCAUCAGCCACUUUGGAUUUUAAUAUACAUUUUUAUAUUACUAUUGUUAAUAC